UACAUGGGGUGCAAACGUUGCUCGGAAUCAUUGGGCGUAAAGCGCGCGUAGGCGGUUACUUAAGUCGAAUGUGAAAGCCCUCGGCUUAACUGAGGAAGUGCAUCCGAAACUGAGUAGCUAGAGUACGAAAGAGGGUCGCGGAAUUCCCGGUGUAGAGGUGAAAUGCGUAGAGAUCGGCAGGAACACCCAGGGGGAAACCAGCCGACUGGGCAGCUGCUGACGCUGAGGUGCGAGAGCGUGGGGAGCGAACCGG
rnacentral:rRNA from 1 species